GAUGAACGCUGGCGGCGUGCCUAAUACAUGCAAGUCGAGCGAACAGACGAGGAGCUUGCUCCUCUGACGUUAGCGGCGGACGGGUGAGUAACACGUGGAUAACCUACCUAUAAGACUGGGAUAACUUCGGGAAGCCGGAGCUAAUACCGGAUAAUAUAUUGAACCGCAUGGUUCAAUAGUGAAAGACGGUUUUGCUGUCACUUAUAGAUGGAUCCGCGCCGCAUUAGCUAGUUGGUAAGGUAACGGCUUACCAAGGCAACGAUGCGUAGCCGACCUGAGAGGGUGAUCGGCCAUACUGGAACUGAGACACGGUCCAGACUCCUACGGGAGGCAGCAGUAGGGAAUCUUCCGCAAUAGGCGAAAGCCUGACGGAGCAACGCCGCGUGAGUGAUGAAGGUCUUCGGAUCGUAAAACUCUGUUAUUAGGGAAGAACAAAUGUGUAAGUAACUAUGCACGUCUUGACGGUACCUAAUCAGAAAGCCACGGCUAACUACGUG
rnacentral:rRNA from 1 species